GAUGAACGCUGGCGGCGUGCCUAAUACAUGCAAGUCGAGCGAACGGACGAGAAGCUUGCUUCUCUGAUGUUAGCGGCGGACGGGUGAGUAACACGUGGAUAACCUACCUAUAAGACUGGGAUAACUUCGGGAAACCGGAGCUAAUACCGGAUAAUAUUUUGAACCGCAUGGUUCAAAAGUGAAAGACGGUCUUGCUGUCACUUAUAGAUGGAUCCGCGCUGCAUUAGCUAGUUGGUAAGGUAACGGCUUACCAAGGCAACGAUGCAUAGCCGACCUGAGAGGGGGAGCGGCGACAGUGGAACAGAGACACGGGGCAGACACCUACGGGAGGCGGCGGUAGGGAAGAGUCCGCAAUGGGUGAAAGUCUGAAGGAGCACUGAUGAGGGAAGAAUGAAGGUUUACGUAUCGGAAAACUGUGUUAUUAGGGAAGAACAGAUGGGUAAGGAACUGGGCAGAGCGUGACGGUACCUAAUCAGAAAGCCACGGCUAACUACGUG
rnacentral:rRNA from 1 species